AUUGAACGCUGGCGGCAGGCCUAACACAUGCAAGUCGAACGAGUGGCGGACGGGUGAGUAAUGUCUGGGAAACUGCCUGAUGGCGGGGGAUAACUACUGGAAACGGUAGCUAAUACCGCAUACCAUCAGAUGUGCCCAGAUGGGAUUAGCUUGUUGGUGGGGUAACGGCUCACCAAGGCGACGAUCCCUAGCUGGUCUGAGAGGAUGACCAGCCAAACUGGAGCUGAGACACGGACCAGAGUCCUAGAGGAGGCGGCAUUGGGGAAUAUUGCACGAUGGGCGCAAGCCAGCUGCAGCCAUGCCGCGUGUAUGAAGAAGGCCUUCGGGUUGUAAAGUACUUUCAGCGGGGAGGCGUUACCCGCAGAAGAAGCACCGGCUAACGCCGUUCCAGCAGCCGCGGUAAUAC
rnacentral:rRNA from 1 species